UGGCAGCCAAUUAAGCCAACUGUGCCCUUUGCCCCAUGGGGCCCGGCGUGCAGUGGCUGCAAACAGCAGCCUCCUCGGUAGUGUACGAAGCCUGUUGCCUAUGUGGGUUGCCCUAAGAGACCCUGGAGAUAGCC